AGCGAACGCUGGCGGCAGGCCUAACACAUGCAAGUCGAACGAACCUUUCGGGGUUAGUGGCGGACGGGUGAGUAACACGUGGGAACGUGCCUUUAGGUUCGGAAUAACUCAGGGAAACUUGUGCUAAUACAGAAUGUGCCCUUCGGGGGAAAGAUUAAUCGCCUUUAGAGCGGCCCGCGUCUGAUUCGCUAGUUGGUUGAGGUAAUGGCUCACCAAGGCGACGAUCAGUAGCUGGUCUGAGAGGAGGAUCAGCCACAUUGGGACUGAGACACGGCCCACACUCCGACGGGAGGCAGCAGUGGGUAGUCUUGCGCAAUGGGCGAAAGCCUGACGCAGCCAUGCCGCGUGAAUGAUGAAGGUCGUAGGAUUGUAAAAUUCUUUCACCGGGGACGAUAAUGACGGUACCCGGUGAAGAAGCCCCGGCUAACUUCGUG
rnacentral:rRNA from 1 species